rnacentral:rRNA from 1 species
UAGCUUGAUCCUGGCUCAGGAUGAACGCUGGCGGUAUGCUUAACACAUGCAAGUCGAACGGUGUCUUCGGACACAGUGGCGGACGGGUGAGUAACGCGUGAGAAUCUGCCUUCAGGUCUGGGACAACCACUGGAAACGGUGGCUAAUACCGGAUGUGCCGAGAGGUGAAAGGUUAACUGCCUGAAGAUGAGCUCGCGUCUGAUUAGCUAGUUGGUAGAGUAAGAGCCUACCAAGGCGACUAUCAGUAGCUGGUCUGAGAGGAUGAUCACCCACACUGGGACUGAGACACGGCCCAGACUCCUACGGGAGGCAGCAGUGGGGAAUUUUCCGCAAUGGGCGAAAGCCUGACGGAGCAAUACCGCGUGAGGGAGGAAGGCUCUUGGGUCGUAAACCUCUUUUCUCAGGGAAGAACACAAUGACGGUACCUGAGGAAUAAGCAUCGGCUAACUCCGUGCCAGCAGCCGCGGUAAUACGGAGGAUGCAAGCGUUAUCCGGAAUGAUUGGGCGUAAAGCGUCCGCAGGUGGCUAUGUAAGUCUGCUGUUAAAGCGUCUAGCUCAACUAGAUAAAAGCAGUGGAAACUACAAGGCUAGAGUGCGUUCGGCGCAGAGGGAAUUCCUGGUGUAGCGGUGAAAUGCGUAGAGAUCAGGAAGAACACCGGUGGCGAAUGCUCUCUGCUAGGCCGCAACUGACACUGAGGGACGAAAGCUA